UACGGGGGGAGCAAGCGUUGUUCGGAUUUACUGGGCGUAAAGGGCGCGUAGGCGGUCGUGACAAGUCACUUGUGAAAUCUCCGGGCUUAACUCGGAACGGUCAAGUGAUACUGUCGGACUAGAGUACAGAAGGGGCAACUGGAAUUCUCGGUGUAGCGGUGAAAUGCGUAGAUAUCGAGAGGAACACCUGCGGCGAAGGCGGGUAGCUGGGCCGACACUGACGCUGAGGCGCGAAAGCUAGGGGAGCGAACAGG
rnacentral:rRNA from 1 species